CCUACGGGAGGCAACAGUGAGGAAUAUUGGUCAAUGGGCGGAAGCCUGAACCAGCCAAGUCGCGUGAGGGAUGAAGGUUCAAUGGAUCGUAAACCUCUUUUAUAAGGGAAUAAAGUGCGGGACGUGUCCCGUUUUGUAUGUACCUUAUGAAUAAGGAUCGGCUAACUCCGUGCCAGCAGCCGCGGUAAUACGGAGGAUCCGAGCGUUAUCCGGAUUUAUUGGGUUUAAAGGGUGCGGAGGCGGCCUUUUAAGUCAGCGGUGAAAGUCUGUGGCUCAACCAUAGAAUUGCCGUUGAAACUGGGCGGCUUGAGUAUGUUUGAGGCAGGCGGAAUGCGUGGUGUAGCGGUGAAAUGCUUAGAUAUCACGCAGAACCCCGAUUGCGAAGGCAGCCUACCAAGCCAUGACUGACGCUGAUGCACGAAAGCGUGGGGAUCAAACAGGAUUAGAUACCCCGGUAGUC
rnacentral:rRNA from 1 species